GCGAGGGUGGCGGAAUUGGUAGACGCGCUAGCUUCAGGUGUUAGUGUUCUAACGGACGUGGGGGUUCAAGUCCCCCCCUUCGCA
rnacentral:tRNA from 1 species